AGGUGACCAUAACCACGUGCUCAACCUUCCACCGCCCGCCCCUCCCAUAAUCGCCUCCGUCCAGCGAUGGUUUCAUCUCGCUCACCCGCUCGCCCCUCGCCCUCGUCGCCUCCGAUCCCUCUUGAAAUCUUCCAACAACAGGUCCUUUCACGGCCACAAUCCCCGAUCGCCCAACGUGCCUCGCUGACCAACUGGAGUCCCUUGCCGCCGCAGUUUCGAGUAUCUAAAAUUACCGUCGAUCAUGUCUUGCCCCUCCCCAUCCGUCGCCUCCGAUCCUUCUUAAGAUCUUCCAACAACAGGUCCAUUCACAGCCGCAAUCCCCGAUCGCGCACCGUUCCCCUCCUAUCAAGUGGAGUCCCUCGCCGCCGCAGGCAAAGGAGCACUCUGUAGGCAGGCCCUGUGGGAACCUCUUGAGGUCGCUGCAGUAGUUGUAGAUCAUGUAGUUCUUCUGCACCCACUUCAUCUUCUCUUGGCCUGUGGUGUCCAGCUCUUGGCUCCACCACCCGCUGCUGCUGGGGACAGUGUCGGCCCUGAA